rnacentral:rRNA from 1 species
GACGAACGCUGGCGGCGUGCCUAAUACAUGCAAGUCGAACGCUUCUUUCCUCCCGAGUGCUUGCACUCAAUUGGAAAGAGGAGUGGCGGACGGGUGAGUAACACGUGGGUAACCUACCCAUCAGAGGGGGAUGACACUUGGAAACAGGUGCUAAUACCGCAUAACAGUUUAUGCCGCAUGGCAUAAGAGUGAAAGGCGCUUUCGGGUGUCGCUGAUGGAUGGACCCGCGGUGCAUUAGCUAGUUGGUGAGGUAACGGCUCACCAAGGCCACGAUGCAUAGCCGACCUGAGAGGGUGAUCGGCCACACUGGAACUGAGACACGGCCCAGACUCCUACGGGAGGCAGCAGUAGGGAAUCUUCGGCAAUGGACGAAAGUCUGACCGAGCAACGCCGCGUGAGUGAAGAAGGUUUUCGGAUCGUAAAACUCUGUUGUUAGAGAAGAACAAGGACGUUAGUAACUGAACGUCCCCUGACGGUAUCUAACCAGAAAGCCACGGCUAACUACGUG